rnacentral:rRNA from 1 species
UUGCCCCGCAAGGGGUAACUGAGUGGCGAACGGGUGAGUAACACGUGGGUGACCUACCCUCGAGUGGGGGAUAACAUCCCGAAAGGGGUGCUAAUACCGCAUGACAUCCUGUCUUUGAACAGAUGGACAUUAAAGCCGGGGAUCGCAAGACCUGGCGCUCGUGGAGGGGCCCGCGCCCGAUUAGCUAGUUGGUGAGGUAACGGCUCACCAAGGCUUCGAUCGGUAUCCGGCCUGAGAGGGCGGACGGACACACUGGGACUGAGACACGGCCCAGACUCCUACGGGAGGCAGCAGUGGGGAAUUGUUCGCAAUGGGCGAAAGCCUGACGACGCAACGCCGCGUGGAGGACGAAGAUCUUCGGG